rnacentral:lncRNA from 1 species
UGGUGCAUUGCCAAUGCAUAAAGCAAAAGAUAACAAUUAACAAAGUACUAAGUAGUGGGAUUAAGUGCCUUGACUAUUAUGUAGGAAUCAAGUAACAAAUCCAAAGCAGGGGUGAGCCCAUUUUUCUGCUUAGCAGUGUUGUUACUAUUUAAUUAUCGCACUACACAAAACCUUUUCAUCAUUGUCUUUAAUUUACACCAACUCAUUACCAAAAACUUACUACGAUUAUUGGUACGUCACAACUGUAGACCAUUCUUCAUGUCUCCAACAGAAAAGGCAGCAGCUUCUGAUGUAAGCUAAUCGAUACACCAUAAUCAUCCACCCUGCAAAACAUGACUAAGUUAGGUACUAUAGAAGAAAUGUAUUCAUGCAAUUUAUUGUGGACUUCAAUCCUUACGAGGAGUUCCAAUUUAAAGGUAAAGCUAAAUAUAAAAACAUCAUUAUGCCACAUCCAAUACCAUCGAUAAGUUAAAACUAGACAUGGUAAACCAACAAGACAUGUUGCUGAAGGAAUUUUUGUAGAUCAUUGCAAAAACAACUCCAUCACAAUAGUGAUCCUUACACUUUGGCAAACAAUAAGGCUGCAUAAAUUACUAAUGUUUUUUUUAGUGUUGUCUGAGGUGGAGUCAUCAAUAGUCCAACUUAUCAGGAUAUUGUUCACCGUGUAAGAUUCUUCAGUAAUUAGUAUGUCCAUGCAUAUUAUUAGUGGAACCCUGAAUUUCGUUCCUACGUGGCAGAUUGAGAAAGGUAAAAAAUAAAAGGCAUUUAAAAUAAUGUUCCAUCCAUUAUAUAUAGAUGUAGCUACCAUUUAAGAAGUCUAACGAGCCAUACCUGAAGUUCUCAGCAAGUUGAACCACGAAGCAUGACCACAAGCGAACUGUUUAUCAGGGCAAAGCCCUUCCUUGCUGUUAUUUUCUUGCAGUUUGGG